GACGAACGCUGGCGGCGUGCUUAACACAUGCAAGUCGAGCGGUAAGGCCCUUUCGGGGGUACACGAGCGGCGAAACGGGUGAGUAACACGUGGGUGACCUGCCCUCAGCUCUGGGAUAAGCCUGGGAAACCGGGUCUAAUACUGGAUAUGACUCCAUGACGCAUGUUGUGGGGUGGAAAGCCUUGUGCGGCUGAGGAUGGGCCCGCGGCCUAUCAGCUUGUUGGUGGGGUGAUGGCCUACCAAGGCGACGACGGGUAGCCGGCCUGAGAGGGCGACCGGCCACACUGGGACUGAGACACGGCCCAGACUCCUACGGGAGGCAGCAGUGGGGAAUCUUGCGCAAUGGGCGAAAAGCCUGACGCAGCGACGCCGCGUGAGGGAU
rnacentral:rRNA from 1 species